rnacentral:rRNA from 2 species
GAUCAUGGCUCAGGACGAACGCUGGCGGCGUGCCUAAUACAUGCAAGUCGAACGAACUCUGGUAUUGAUUGGUGCUUGCAUCAUGAUUUACAUUUGAGUGAGUGGCGAACUGGUGAGUAACACGUGGGAAACCUGCCCAGAAGCGGGGGAUAACACCUGGAAACAGAUGCUAAUACCGCAUAACAACUUGGACCGCAUGGUCCGAGUUUGAAAGAUGGCUUCGGCUAUCACUUUUGGAUGGUCCCGCGGCGUAUUAGCUAGAUGGUGGGGUAACGGCUCACCAUGGCAAUGAUACGUAGCCGACCUGAGAGGGUAAUCGGCCACAUUGGGACUGAGACACGGCCCAAACUCCUACGGGAGGCAGCAGUAGGGAAUCUUCCACAAUGGACGAAAGUCUGAUGGAGCAACGCCGCGUGAGUGAAGAAGGGUUUCGGCUCGUAAAACUCUGUUGUUAAAGAAGAACAUAUCUGAGAGUAACUGUUCAGGUAUUGACGGUAUUUAACCAGAAAGCCACGGCUAACUACGUGCCAGCAGCCGCGGUAAUACGUAGGUGGCAAGCGUUGUCCGGAUUUAUUGGGCGUAAAGCGAGCGCAGGCGGUUUUUUAAGUCUGAUGUGAAAGCCUUCGGCUCAACCGAAGAAGUGCAUCGGAAACUGGGAAACUUGAGUGCAGAAGAGGACAGUGGAACUCCAUGUGUAGCGGUGAAAUGCGUAGAUAUAUGGAAGAACACCAGUGGCGAAGGCGGCUGUCUGGUCUGUAACUGACGCUGAGGCUCGAAAGUAUGGGUAGCAAACAGGAUUAGAUACCCUGGUAGUCCAUACCGUAAACGAUGAAUGCUAAGUGUUGGAGGGUUUCCGCCCUUCAGUGCUGCAGCUAACGCAUUAAGCAUUCCGCCUGGGGAGUACGGCCGCAAGGCUGAAACUCAAAGGAAUUGACGGGGGCCCGCACAAGCGGUGGAGCAUGUGGUUUAAUUCGAAGCUACGCGAAGAACCUUACCAGGUCUUGACAUACUAUGCAAAUCUAAGAGAUUAGACGUUCCCUUCGGGGACAUGGAUACAGGUGGUGCAUGGUUGUCGUCAGCUCGUGUCGUGAGAUGUUGGGUUAAGUCCCGCAACGAGCGCAACCCUUAUUAUCAGUUGCCAGCAUUAAGUUGGGCACUCUGGUGAGACUGCCGGUGACAAACCGGAGGAAGGUGGGGAUGACGUCAAAUCAUCAUGCCCCUUAUGACCUGGGCUACACACGUGCUACAAUGGAUGGUACAACGAGUUGCGAACUCGCGAGAGUAAGCUAAUCUCUUAAAGCCAUUCUCAGUUCGGAUUGUAGGCUGCAACUCGCCUACAUGAAGUCGGAAUCGCUAGUAAUCGCGGAUCAGCAUGCCGCGGUGAAUACGUUCCCGGGCCUUGUACACACCGCCCGUCACACCAUGAGAGUUUGUAACACCCAAAGUCGGUGGGGUAACCUUUUAGGAACCAGCCGCCUAAGGUGGGACAGAUGAUUAGGGUGAAGUCGUAACAAGGUAGCCGUAGGAGAACCUGCGGUUGGAUCAC